GUGCUCCUCCUUAACAUCCAGUGAGGCUUUGCUUCUCCCCAUCCCCUCUAUUCCACCAUGUUUUUUUGUAAUUUUUGCCCAUGAUGUUGCUUCGCACUUUAUUCAUAUAUUGUAUUUGGCACAGGUUCAUAUGUUCAUAAGAGUUAUCUGUGAUGCUGCUUGCACAGUUCAAGAAAAUCAUAUCAUCUGUUGGCACUUUGUCCAUGUAUUUUAACAUUGCGUGUUUUGAUUUUGUGAUUUGGGUGCAUUGUUUCCUGAUUAACAUGAAUUAAUGGAUCUACACAAGCAAGGCACUUAUUAACUUGGCACUGUUAAUUAAGAAAAUUUGAUGAAGCACGCACUGUUAAUUUCAGCAACACUCUUUGCCUUUGCAUGUGAAUUAAUGGAUAUGGCACCUUCUUAUACAAAUCAAUGGAUUUGGCACUUAGUGUUAUGAAUCUUAUGAACAAGUUAACGUCACUGAUGUGUAUGAUAUGUAUGCAUACUUGGAACAUUAUGAUAUGUAUGCAUACUUGAAUGGUAGUAACUUGAAUGCAUCAACAUUAGUGCUAUAGAGUUGUUAUCCGAGCUAGUUCUGUUUACUUUUAAUAUAGGUCUAGUAGUCACCAGUACUUACAUCCUAUGCUAUAGUAGUCCUUGUUCAUAUUUACUAGCUAAGUUUGCUUGUCCUGGGGAUCUACAUACAUGCCAUUCGUGUUUCACGCUUUCUCUGAAAUGAAAUAAUAAGGUGCACUUUCCAGGGACCAGGACGACCACCGGGACCUCCAUGACGAUGACGAAGCCCCGCACAUGGUCGAGCUCGAUGGAACAACAGUGCCUCGGUGUGGUGCAGCCGAGUUGGGCCAACGACUACGUUAUGGUCCUCAUUAUGGUCGAGUUUUUGUUUUGACCUUGUGAAACUUGCUACCUAUGGAUGAAACUGUGUAAUAUUGAUGAAACUAUGUAUAUGUACGGAUGAAACUUGCUACUAUUGGUAACAUGUGUUGGAUACAUAUGUGUUCAUGACUAUUGGUAAUAUGUGUUGAAUAUGCUAUAUUGGUCAUAUAAAUCUAUUUGUGUUUGAUUUCUAUGAAAAUGAAUUGAUAUAAGAAAAAACAAAAUUAAAUGGGGC
rnacentral:lncRNA from 1 species